rnacentral:lncRNA from 1 species
CACGCACUCGAAGAGGUUCUGAAUAAAUGGUCCAGAUGCCAGCCCCAGCUAAGCACCCAGCGGACAGCCAGCAUCAGCCAUCAUACGUGUGAGCGAGGAAGCCUUGAAGGUGACUCCAGCCCCAGCCACAUGUGAGUGCAACCCCAGUGAGAACUGUCUCGCUGGCCCCAGUCAACCCCCAAGACUGUGAGAGAUCCUGAGAAAAAUCAGUCAAGAAACUGGGAAAAUGGAAAAAGUAUUAUAAUUUUGCGAUGAUUAAAGCUGAACACUCAACACAGAGAUGUUACCGUUUUGAAAGAAUCCACUGAUACCAAGGGCAGGAAACCUGGAUAUGGGAAUCGAAAGUUAAGCAGAGGAAAAUUGAGACCAGAAAGAUGACGUGAGUCGCUCUAGCCUCGACACUAAUGAGCUCCAGACCUGGGCCAGACUGAGCCCCUCUCCACUUGUGAGUCAGGACUCUUUCCCUCUCUCCCCGCAGCCCCUCUUCAUCCCCAGGUUUGUGUCACUUCAUAAAGACUCAGAGGGAAAGUUCUAAAGCUGGACCCAUGGGACAUUUUAGCUCCUAAUGGGCUUAUUUCCCACAGAGCAUGAGAAAGUUCAUGGAGUUUAUGUGCCAUCUUAAGAUCCCGGGCUUGUUGCCAGCUGGUUCCUA